rnacentral:rRNA from 1 species
AAUGAACGUUGGCGGCGUGGAUUAGGCAUGCGAGUCGAGCGAGAACCCCGCAAGGGGGGAAAGCGGCAAACGGCGUAGUAAGGCGUAGGCGACGUGCCCCCAGGUCUGGGAUAGCUAUGGGAAACCGUAGGUAAUACCGGAUGACCCUGCCGGGAUUGAAAGCCGGCAGGCAAAGGUGAGAUUCCGCCCGGGGAGCGGCUUGCGUGGUAUUAGCUAGUUGGUGAGGUAAUGGCUCACCAAGGCUACGAUGCCUAGGGGGUGUGAGAGCACGACCCCCACGACUGGGACUGAGAUACUGCCCAGACACCUACGGGUGGCUGCAGUCGAGAAUCUUCGGCAAUGGGCGAAAGCCUGACCGAGCGACGCCGCGUGUGGGAUGAAGGCCCUUGGGUUGUAAACCACUGUCAGAGGGGAUGAAAUGCGUGUGGGUCCUCCCAUGCGUUUGACAUAGCCUCAGAGGAAGCACGGGCUAAGUUCGUGCCAGCAGCCGCAGUAAUAC